GAUGAACGCUAGCGGCAGGCUUAACACAUGCAAGUCGAGGGGUAUAGUUCUUCGGAGCUAGAGACCGGCGCACGGGUGCGUAGCGCGUAUGCAAUCUACCUUUUGCAGAGGGAUAGCCCAGAGAAAUUUGGAUUAAUACCUCAUGGUAUGUGAGAAUGGCAUCAUUUUCACAUUAAAGUCACAACGGCAAAAGAUGAGCAUGCGUCCCAUUAGCUAGUUGGUAAGGUAACGGCUUACCAAGGCAACGAUGGGGAGGGGUCCUGAGAGGGAGAUCCCCCACACUGGUACUGAGACACGGACCAGACUCCUACGGGAGGCAGCAGUGAGGAAUAUUGGACAAUGGGCGCAAGCCUGAUCCAGCCAUGCCGCGUGCAGGAUGACGGUCCUAUGGAUUGUAAACUGCUUUUGUACAGGAAGAAACACUGGUUCGUGAACCAGCUUGACGGUACUGUAAGAAUAAGGAUCGGCUAACUCCGUGCCAGCCGCCGCGGUAAAAC
rnacentral:rRNA from 1 species